AGUGAUCCGGUGGUUCUGUAUGGAAGGGCCAUCGCUCAACGGAUAAAAGGUACUCUGGGGAUAACAGGCUGAUACCGCCCAAGAGUUCAUAUCGACGGCGGUGUUUGGCACCUCGAUGUCGGCUCAUCUCAUCCUGGGGCUGUAGCCGGUCCCAAGGGUAUGGCUGUUCGCCAUUUAAAGAGGUACGUGAGCUGGGUUUAAAACGUCGUGAGACAGUUUGGUCCCUAUCUGCCGUGGGCGUUGGAUAUUUGAAGGGGGCUGCUCCUAGUACGAGAGGACCGGAGUGGACGAACCUCUGGUGUACCGGUUGUCACGCCAGUGGCAUCGCCGGGUAGCUAUGUUCGGAAGAGAUAACCGCUGAAAGCAUCUAAGCGGGAAACUCGCCUUAAGAUGAGAUAUCCCUGGGGACUAGAUCCCCUUGAAGGGUCGUUCGAGACCAGGACGUUGAUAGGUCAGGUGUGUAAGCGCAGUAAUGCGUUCAGCUAACUGAUACUAAUUGCCCGUAAGGCUUGAUCCUAUAACA
rnacentral:rRNA from 1 species